GCGCUAAUAGCUCAGUUGGGAGAGCGUCAGACUGAAGUCACAUUCGGUCCAUUCCACAUCCGGGGUAAUCUGAAGGUCACCCGUUCAAUCCGGGUUUGGCGCA
rfam:Pyronema omphalodes CBS 100304, CBS100304, WGS project CATG01000000 data, contig: Pcon_v1_contig324